rnacentral:rRNA from 1 species
AAUCUUCCGCAAUGGACGCAAGUCUGACGGAGCAACGCCGCGUGAGUGAGGAAGGUCUUCGGAUCGUAAAGCUCUGUUGCCAGGGAAGAAACGGCUGGGGAGCAACUGCCCUAGUUUUGACGGUACCUGAGAAGAAAGCCCCGGCUAACUACGUGCCAGCAGCCGCGGUAAUACGUAGGGGGCAAGCGUUGUCCGGAAUUAUUGGGCGUAAAGCGCGCGCAGGCGGCUCUUUAAGUCUGGUGUAUAAACCUGAGGCUCAACCUUGGGACGCAUUGGAAACUGGGGAGCUUGAGUACAGCAGAGGAGAGUGGAAUUCCACGUGUAGCGGUGAAAUGCGUAGAGAUGUGGAGGAACACCAGUGGCGAAGGCGACUCUCUGGGCUGAAACUGACGCUGAGGCGCGAAAGCGUGGGGAGCAAACAG